rnacentral:lncRNA from 1 species
CAAGAGGUGCAAAUGAAAGAGUCAGGUAGGCUUAAACAAGUAGUCUAGACUUAAGCCCAACAACCAAAUGUCAUCAAACCCAAUUGUACUAUAUAUAAAAAGAAUAGAAUAAAAAUAAAAAUAAUAAAUAGUAAAAAAAAUAACAGCUUGACCAUAGAAUAUUUAUGAUGUUGACCCAAUAGUAAAACAGAGCCUCUUUGAACCUAAAAUCAAACGAAUAUAAAGAUGGAACAAUUUUCUCAGUAGAGAUUUCUACAACAACACCUACAGAUUUUUAAAACCGCAACACCGUAUUCUACAGAAUAAUAACAAAUGGUUAUGUUAUAAAUUGAAAUAAAAGGGGAAGAAAAAAU